rnacentral:rRNA from 1 species
AGAGUUUGAUUCUGGCUCAGAACGAACGCUGGCGGCGUGGAUAAGACAUGCAAGUCGAGCGCUGAUUACGGGGUAGCAAUAUUCCGUGGUCGGAGCGGCGCAAGGGUGCGUAACACGUGGGUAAUCUGCCGUGAAGUCUGGAAUAACUUGCUGAAAGGCGAGCUAAUGCCGGAUGUGAAAAUUGGAAGGCAUCUUUUGAUUUUCAAAGUUGGGGACCGUAAGGCCUGACGCUUCAUGAUGAGCCCGCGGCCUAUCAGCUAGUUGGUGAGGUAACGGCUCACCAAGGCUAAGACGGGUAGCUGGUCUGAGAGGACGACCAGCCACACUGGAACUGAGACACGGUCCAGACACCUACGGGUGGCAGCAGUCGAGAAUUUUUCACAAUGGGCGCAAGCCUGAUGGAGCGACGCCGCGUGGGGGAUGAAUGGCUUCGGCCCGUAAACCCCUGUCAUUUGCGAACAAAUUGUUUUGCAUAACACAUAAAGCAUUGAUUGUAGCAGAAGAGGAAGGGACGGCUAACUCUGUGCCAGCAGCCGCGGUAAUACAGAGGUCCCAAGCGUUGUUCGGAUUCACUGGGCGUAAAGGGUGCGUAGGUGGUCGGAUAAGUUUGAUGUGAAAUCUCCGGGCUUAACCCGGAAACUGCAUUGAAUACUAUUCGGCUGGAGGGUUGGAGGGGGGACUGGAAUUCUCGGUGUAGCAGUGAAAUGCGUAGAUAUCGAGAGGAACACCAGUGGCGAAGGCGAGUCCCUGGACAACUCCUGACACUAAGGCACGAAAGCCAGGGGAGCAAACGGGAUUAGAUACCCCGGUAGUCCUGGCCCU